rnacentral:rRNA from 1 species
UGGGGAAUUUUGGACAAUGGACGAAAGUCUGAUCCAGCCAUGCCGCGUGCGGGAAGAAGGCCUUCGGGUUGUAAACCGCUUUUGUCAGGGAAGAAAUCCUUUGAGCUAAUACCUCGGGGGGAUGACGGUACCUGAAGAAUAAGCACCGGCUAACUACGUGCCAGCAGCCGCGGUAAUACGUAGGGUGCAAGCGUUAAUCGGAAUUACUGGGCGUAAAGCGUGCGCAGGCGGUUAUGUAAGACAGAGGUGAAAUCCCCGGGCUCAACCUGGGAACUGCCUUUGUGACUGCAUAGCUUGAGUGCGGCAGAGGGGGAUGGAAUUCCGCGUGUAGCAGUGAAAUGCGUAGAUAUGCGGAGGAACACCGAUGGCGAAGGCAAUCCCCUGGGCCUGCACUGACGCUCAUGCACGAAAGCGUGGGGAGCGAACAGGAUUAGAUACCCUGGUAGUCCACGCCCUAAACGAUGUCAACUGGUUGUUGGGAGGGUUUCUUCUCAGUAACGUAGCUAACGCGUGAAGUNGNCCGCCUGGGGAGUACGGCCGCAAGGUUG